rnacentral:rRNA from 1 species
AACGAACGCUGGCGGCAGGCUUAACACAUGCAAGUCGAACGGAUGGGUGUAGCAAUACAUUUCAUCAGUGGCAGACGGGUGAGUAACACGUGGGAACCUUCCUCGUUGUACGGGACAACUCAGGGAAACUUGAGCUAAUACCGUAUAAGUCCGAGAGGAGAAAGAUUUAUCGCAAUGAGACGGGCCCGCGUCGGAUUAGCUAGUUGGUGGGGUAACGGCCUACCAAGGCGACGAUCCGUAGCUGAUCUGAGAGGAUGAUCAGCCACACUGGGACUGAGACACGGCCCAGACUCCUACGGGAGGCAGCAGUGGGGAAUCUUGGACAAUGGGCGCAAGCCUGAUCCAGCCAUGCCGCGUGAGUGAAGAA